AGUGAACGCUGGCGGUAGGCCUAACACAUGCAAGUCGAACGGCAGCACAGUAAGAGCUUGGUCUUACGGUUGGGGAGUGGCGGACGGGUGAGGGAUACAUCGGAGUCUACUUUUUCGUGGGGGGUGACGUAUGGAAACUUACGCUAAUACCGCAUACGACCUACGUGUGGAAGCUGGGGAUCUUCGGACCUUGCCCGUUUGAAUGCGCCAAUGUCGAAUUAGCUAGUUGGGGGGGUACAGGCCCACCAAGUGGUAGAUGGGAAGCUGGUCUGAGAGGAUGAUCAGCAACACUAGAACUGAGACACGGCACAGACUCCUACGGGAGGCAGCAGUGGGGAAUAUUGGACAAUGGGCGCAAUCCUGCUCCAGCCAUACCGCGUGGGUGAAGAAGACCUUCGGGUUGUAAAGCCCUUUUGUAGGGAAAGAAAAGCAUCAGGUUAAUACCCAGCUGUUCUGACGGUACCCAAAGAAUAAGCACCGGCUAACUUCGUG
rnacentral:rRNA from 1 species